GAUGAACGCUGGCGGCGUGCCUAAUACAUGCAAGUCGAGCGAACAGACGAGGAGCUUGCUCCUCUGACGUUAGCGGCGGACGGGCGAGUAACACGUGGAUAACCUACCUAUAAGGCUGGGAUAACUUCGGGAAACCGGAGCUAAUACCGGAUAAUAUAUUGAACCGCAUGGUUCAAUAGUGAACGACAGUUUUGCUGUCACUUAUAGAUGGAUCCGCGCCGCAUUAGCUAGUUGGUAAGGUAACGGCUUACCAAGGCAACGAUGCGUAGCCGACCUGAGAGGGUGAUCGGCCACACUGGAACUGAGACACGGUCCAGACUCCUACGGGAGGCAGCAGUAGGGAAUCUUCCGCAAUGGGCGAAAGCCUGACGGAGCAACGCCGCGUGAGUGAUGAAGGUCUUCGGAUCGUAAAACUCUGUUAUUAGGGAAGAACAAAUGUGUAAGUAACUAUGCACGUCUUGACGGUACCUAAUCAGAAAGCCACGGCUAACUACGUG
rnacentral:rRNA from 1 species